GGGGCUAUAGCUCAGUUGGGAGAGCGCUUGCAUGGCAUGCAAGAGGUCGUCGGUUCAAGUCCGACUAGCUCCACCA
rnacentral:tRNA from 1 species